rnacentral:lncRNA from 1 species
GAAGUAUUCAUUCCCUGCUUAAGAUGAGGAUGAUGAUCAUCAUCAUCUUCUUGGUCUUUGUUUGUGUGUUGGAGUUUCUAAGCAAUGCUUGUGUUUUAUGUGAGGUUUUUAAUAAAGAGUGGAACCGUAUGCCUCCUCUAAUCUUAUGUAUGUCACCUCUCUUGUCUCUUUUGUUUCAUAUUGUAACUCCUAUUCUGUGUGAUUGAGUUGAGGCUUGAAUCUAGAGGAACUUAAUUAUAUAUCUUUGGUUUAGCUCAUUCCAACCACAUUUUGAUUAUUGUCACCAGUUUAACUCCCUAUCAAAGUUGAUAUCUUGGGGGGUAGGGGUGUAAAUUCGGUCCGUCCCAGCCCGGCCCAAACCUGCUAAGCCCUUAAAAUUUUGAGCCCGGUCCAAAAAUAUUUUGUGCCUAGAAUUCAAAGCUCGACCCGGUCUUUAUAGGACUGUAGGAUUUUUCGGGCUUUUUUUAAGCCUUUCGAAAAAUAAUUUGUUAUUUGUUAUAAAUCAUAUUGUGGAUGUCCAUAACCGGUCCGAUCCAUAACCAGUCCAUACAUGAGAGAGAGAGAGAGAGCCGGCGCCUAGCGAGAGAGUCGGCCAACCCUACUUUCCUUUUCCUUAUUAGUUUAUGAUUUGUACUCUUUCCAUAUUUGUAUUUCUUUUUCUCUAGUCUUUUCAUUAUUCUAUGACGGUGUAAUUCUCUAUAUAUAAAGGGCUCCUUAUGUUUAUGAAUAAUACAGAAACAUUGAUUCUAUUCUCUAGUUUCACAACACGUUAUCAGCACGAUCACGCUCUAAACCCUAAGCUAAACAAACCCUAGCCGAAGAAUCCAUAAUCCCCUCGACGAUAAACCCUAACCGUUGAGAACUCCCGAUCACGAACCCUAAACCUAAUUCUCAUCUUGUUCCCGUUCGUGACACGAUCCCAGCUCGCGACCUCAGACCGUCUCAGCUCGAUCCCGAGACACGAUCUCAGCCAGCUACCGCUCGCGACAACAGCUUGUUUCCGUUCGUGAUCAGACGAUCUCAGCUUCAGCUCGCGUUCCCGAUACCAGCAAGGACAGCUCACGAUCCGUUCCAGCUCUAGACGACCUCAGCUCGUUCGCUUAUCAAUCUCAAUAUUCAGCUCGCGGUUCUUCUUCUCAUUGGAGGUCCAUUCAACCCUACUUGAAGUUAAGGUAAUUCGAAACCUUAAAGAUAACCCAUAAUUGAAUGUUGAUUGCUUGAUAUGAAUUGAAACCAUAAAAUCUUAAACCCGAAUCGAAACCAUAGGGUAAAAGAUCAUAACAUCAAUGAGUAAAUCGAAGCUCAUAAUCAUAUGUUCGAUACCCCAAUUCUUGAUACCUUAGCCGCAUACAUGUAUCUUACAUGUUAUGCAAGAAAUCGAUCCAAACCCUAAAAGCUAAAGACAUGAUCGAUUUUAUAUAAACCCUAAUCGUAUUAUAUAUGUUCUAAAUUAAAAUCGAUUGAUUGUUUUGAAAUUAUAAUUGUAUGAUAGCUUGUUUGAUUAAUUAAAACUGAAUGUUUGUUUUGAUAUUGAAUGAGAUCGUAUUGUUAGAUUGAUCACAUAGAAAUCGUUUUGCUAGGAUUGAUAAACUCAUCCUCGAAUUUGGUUGUUUUGAAUUAAAACCGAUUGAAUGAAUUUGGAAUCGCAUGAUAGUCUUGAUUAAACCCUAACCGGCCUUGCUUAUAUGGAAACCCUAAUUGCAUUGAUAAAUUGAACAUGAUUCGUUAGGUUGAUAGAAAAUUAACUUCUUGAUGCAUUGCUUAAUUAUUUGAUUGCAAUUAUAUAACUUAGAAUUCGUAUGAACAUAUAGAAACCGUAUGAUAGGCUUGCAUUAUAACUAUAUGUACAUAUAGAAUUCGAAUUGCUUGGACAUACCUUAUAGCUGUGUGGCUUGUUUUGUAUCAUGCAUGCAUAUCACGUAUGAACUGAUUGCAUAUAGAAAUCGUAUGCUAGGAUUGUAAACGAAUAAAUAUUGCAUGAUCAUCUCUUGCUUGGCUGUGAGGCUUGUUCUUAGCCGUGAGGCUUGUUCUUAGCCGUGAGGCUUGUCAUGGCCGCAAGGCUUGUUUGAACUUAGAAACCUAAUUGCUUGAACAUAUUGAUUGCAUUCGCUUGAACACUUUUAAAUCUAAAUUAUUUUUAAAUCUAAAUUAUGAAACAUAUGAUUUCAGAUGUCGAAAAUCAACAACUUGGAUUUUGCUGCCCUAAGUCUCUCUGGAGAUAAUUACGUGCACUGGGCACUUGAUGCUAAGAUCAUCAUAAAAUCCAAGGGACUCGGUGAAUGUAUCACCGAGGGAAAUAAUGCAAGUGAGAAAGAUAGAUACAGUGUGAUAUUAAUUAUACGCCAUCAUCAUAUUGAGAGUCUUAAAGAUCAGUAUUUGACUAUUGAGAAUCCUCUAGACCUUUGGACAGAGUUGAAAACGAGAUAUGAUCACUAGAGAACGAUUUUAUUACCAAAGACUAUGUAUGAUUGGAGGAAUCUCAGAAUCCAGGACUUCAAGUCUGUGGACGAGUAUAACUCGGCCCUGUUUAAAAUAGUUUCAAAAUUGAAACUGUGUGGUGAGGAUAUGACGGAUAAGGAUAUGCUUGAGAAAACUUUUUCCACCUUCCACACAAGCAAUGUGUUGUUACAACAACAGUACCGUGAGAAGGGCUUCACAACUUAUGCUAAUUUGAUCUCUUGUCUCUUGCUCGCUGAGCAGAACAAUGAACAGUUGAUGAGAAACAGUGAAUUGAGACCUUCUGGAACAAACCCAUUACCUGAGGAACAUGCGACCGUAGAGGCUAAGAAAAAGUCGAACCAUGUCCAGAGUGAUAGCCAACACAACCGUGGUCGUGUAAAAUGGCAUGGACGUGGUGGUCGAGACCAAAACUCGUUUGGUCGAGGCCAAGGCAACUCAUAUGGCCGUGGCUCCUACGGAGGCCGUGGACAUGGCCGAGGCCGUGGUACAUCUUUCAAGCCACAAAACUCGACCAAAUCCGUGUGCCAUAGAUGUGGUAUGGAUAAUCAUUGGGCUAAGACAUGUAGGACUCCCAAACAUCUCGUUGAUCUUUACCAAGAGAGUUUGAAAGGGAAGAAUCCUGAAGCUCAUAUGACUUAUCAAGAUGGUGAAGAUGAUUUCAAUCAUGAACGAGACGAUCUUAUGGAUUAUGAAACUUCAGAUUGUUUAAAAGAAUGAAGUUGAAUUCAACAUCUAUGUUUUUGUGUUCUUUGCUUUAUGUUUUCUAUGUUUUGAUAUUGCUUUGAACUUGUUUUCUUAUUAUAACUUAAUGAAUGAAAGUUUUUGAUAUAAAAGUCUCUAAAGCAUCAUGACUAUACGUAUUGAUAAUGCUGGUGAGUUCACGUCCCCAAGCGUUUAAUGAUUAUUGUAUGUCCAUGGGGGUAAGUGUGGAACACUCUGUGGCACAUGUACAUACACAAAACGACUUGGCCGAAUCAUUCAUAAAACGAAUUCAGCUAAUAGCUAGACCAUUGCUUAUGAGGUCUAAGCUUCCGGCCACAGCUUGGGGACACACGGUCUUGCACGCGGCCGAACUGAUUCGUAUCAGACCGUCUAGUGAACAUAAAUAUUCCCCAUCACAAUUGCUUACGGGUCAUGAGCCAGACAUAUCUCAUCUUAAGACAUUUGGCUGUGCCGUCUAUGUACCAAUUGCUCCACCACAGAGAACAAAGAUGGGACCUCAAAGGAGGAUGGAGAUAUAUGUUGGAUAUGAUUCCCCCACGAUUAUAAAAUACCUUGAGCCAACUACGGGUGAUUUAUUUAAGGCCAGGUAUGCGGAUUGUCACUUUGAUGAAUCCGAACAUCCAACAUUAGGGGGGGAUAGCAAUAAGCUGGUAAAAAAAGAUUACAUGGAAUCAAACAUCCUUAUCUUAACAAGAUCCUCGGACUAAGGAAUGUGAUUUAGAAGUCUAAAAGAUUAUACAUUUACAAAAGCUAGCUAAUCAAUUGCCAGAUUCCUUUGCUGACCCGAAAAGAGUGACUAAGUCAUAUAUACCAGCUGCAAAUGCACCAAUCAGAAUUGAUGUUCAAGAGGGACACAAUCAAGUUGCUACAGAGUCUAGACAACGUUUGAAACGUGGUAGACCAAUAGGUUUCAAAGAUAAGAACUAUCGGAAAACUAAGAAAGGUGCAAAGAAUGAAACUGAGGUUGUUGAAACCCUAGGCACGACCAUGGCCGUUCCUAAAUCUCGGGACUUAACCGCGGCUGAUCCCAAAACCCUAAUAGCGAUCGCGGCUGAUCAUGAAUUCUUAGAUGCGGCCGGCCCUGAUGUAUCUAAUACUGAUUCUUGGGACGCCAAGAUUCAAGGUACUGAAGGUCCUGAUAAUAAUAAGAUCUCAAUAAACUAUGUCUUGUCUGGGAUACAAUGGAACAGAAAGAAUGUCGACAUUGAUGAUAUAUUUGCAUACAAGGUAUCACUUGAACUUAUGGAUUUGAAUGAGGAUCAUGAACCCACGUCUAUUUAUGAGUGCACUCAACGAUCAGAUUGGAUCAAAUGGAAAGAAGCUAUAAACGUGAAGCUAAACUCUUUAAAGAAUAGAGAUGUCUUUGGACCAAUAGUCCGGACACCAUAUGAUGUAAAAAUAGUCAGCUAUAAGUGGGUCUUUGUGAGGAAAAGAAAUGAACACGGGAAGGUCGUGAGAUAUAAAGCACGACUUGUUGCACAAGGAUUCUCACAAAGACUAGGAAUCAAUUAUGAGAAGACAUACUCCCCUAUGGUGGAUGCUACUACUUUUGAUUCCUUAUAAGUCUGGCUAUGAGAGAGACAUUAGACUUGCGGUUAAUGGAUGUUGUAACUGCAUACUUAUAUGGGCCACUGGAUAAUGAGAUUUAUAUGAAUGUACCAGAGGGUAUAGAGUUGAAAAACAAAUCGAGUACUCGAGAACAACACUGUAUAAAGUUGAAUAAGUCACUUUAUGGAUUGAAACAAUCAUGCCGAAUGUGGUACAAUAGGUUAAGUGAGUACCUAGAGAGAGAAGGAUACAAGAAUGAUCCGAUCAGCCCUUGUAUCUUUAUAAAGAAAUUCGGCCAGAGCUUUGUGAUUAUAGCAGUGUAUGUUGAUGAUUUAAAUAUCCUAGGAACCUCUGGAGAGAUUUCCCAAACAGUUGAAUAUCUUAAGAAAUAAUUCGAGAUGAAAGAUCUUGAAAAAAAAACAAAGUUUUGUUUGAGAUUACAGCUUGAGUACAUGGGAGAUGGAAUCCUUGUGCAUCAAAUGGCAUAUACAGAAAAGUACUCAAGAGAUUCAAUAUGGCCGAGUCUCACCCAUUGUCUAGCCCCAUGGUUGUGAGGUCUCUAGGCUUGGACACUGAUCUGUUUCGUCCUAUGAUGGACGAUGAAGAUGUCCUAGGUCCCGAAGUGUCAUAUCUCAGUGCCAUAGGAGCUUUGAUGUAUCUUGCUAGUCACACACGACCAGAUAUAUGUUUUGUCGUGAACCUACUAUCUAGGUUUAGCUCUUGUCCGAUCCAAAGGCACUGGAACGGGAUUAAACAUGUUCUUCGUUACCUAAAAGGAACGAAAGACUUGGGUCUAUUUUAUACUAACAAAAACAAAGAAGGUUUAGUUGGAUUUGCUGAUGCAGGUUAUCUUUUGGAUCCACACAAUGCUCGAUCACAGACAAGCUAUGUUUUCACACAUGGUGGAACGGCCAUAUCAUGGCGUUCCAUGAAGCAGACGAUCGCGGCCACAUCUUCAAACCAUUCGGAGAUAUUGGCUAUACAUGAGGCCAGUCGCGAGUGUGUUUGGUUGAGGUCCAUGACCCAACAUGUACGAGUUGAUUGUGGGAUGUCCGAAGGCAAGGACGCACCAACCGUGAUGUAUGAGGACAAUGCAGCAUGCAUUGCUCAGCUUAAGGACGGCUACAUCAAAGGAGAUAGGACAAAGCACAUCUUGCCUAAGUUCUUCUUCACGCAUGAACUACAGAAAACCUGCGAGGUCCAAGUGGUCCAAGUGCGUUCCAGUGACAACUCAGUUGAUCUAUUUACCAAGUCACUUCCUACCUCGACGUUCAGGAAGCUCACGCAUCAGAUAGGGAUGCGUAGACUGAAAGACCUUCAGUGAUGUUCAGAACAGGGGGAGUAAUACAUGUUGUACUCUUUUUCCUUCACCAUGGUUUUGUCCCAUGGGGUUUUCCUGGUAAGUUUUUAAUGAGGCAACAUCUAAAGCGUAUUACAAACUCUAUAUGGUUAUGACAUCCAAUGGGGAGUGUUAUAAAUCAUAUUGUGGAUGUCCAUAACAGCCCUGGUCCAUAACCGGCCCAUACAUGAGAGUGAGAGAGAGAGAGAGAGAGCCGGCGCCUAGAGAGAGUCGGCCAACCCUACUUUCUUUUUUCUUAUUAGUUUAUGAUUUGUACUCUUUCCAUAUUUGUAUUUCCUUUUCUCUAGUCUUUCUAUUAUUCUAUAACAGUGUAAUUUCUUAUAUAUAAAGGGCUCCUUAUGUUUAUGAAUAAUACAGAAACAUAGAUUUUAUUCUCUAGUUUCACAACAUUAUUGCCAUUCUAUCUUUUUAAUACAUAUGAAUUUUCAUUAAAGAAUCAGUUUCACUUUUUUGUUUUAAAAUAUAAAGUGAGUUUAAACUUUUCUUCUUUAUCAAAAUUAUUUAUUUAUUCGUAUGCUUUAAAACAUAUGAUAAGCAAUAAAAAUUUAAUAACAUUUAAAUAAUUAAAUAUAAAUUAAAACUGAAUAUACAUAAAAGAACAAAAUUUAUGAUAAAUAUGGUCAAACGUUUCAUAUUAUCUGUUUUGAAAAAAAAAACAUGUUGUACAUAAAAUAAGAAGGUACAUUUGCAAAAUUUAAAAUAUGAAACUUGUAAUGAUCAAACAAUAAUUUGCAUUAACAACUUUUAUUUUUUGUUUUUAUGAGAGUUUAGAUGAAAAUAUUACAAUAAUAUGUCAAAUACUAAUAAUGGUUUUGAUUGCAGAAAUGAUAAUAAUUAAUUAAAAUAUAAAAUCUUGGGUUUUCGGACCGGCCCUAACCCAAACGGUCUUAGACCCAAAAUACCCAAAGCCCAAAUGGACUUAGCCCGAAAGACUCAAUUUUUUGGGGCUUAUAAAACUAAACCUAAGCCCGGUAAUUUUUAGGACUGGACGGAUUCGGGCUGCGAACUUCGGCCCUAAUUGACAUGUCUAUCUGGGGGUACGGGGCCAUUCGACCUCUGUGGUACGGUAUACUUUUUAAGAUUAAAAAUAUUACCUUUUUAAAAAUAAAAUUGAAUUUUUAAAAUUAAAUAUAGGUCUAAAAAUUAUAAAUUUAUGUAUUCACAUAAUAAUACAGUAACUCUAAAUUGAUAUUUGGCUCAAUACAUUUAUGCUCUAAGUUUUUAUUUUCUUUAUUUGAAUGGAGGACAAUACCUGCAAGCUGCAGCCAUCAUAUCCAAAUAAUAACAUACGAAUUCUAACCAGAUAUUUGUCUCGAUACGUUUUUGUGUUUUUCGAGUUAAUUCAGGACUUUAAUCUCAAAUAGGACAAAUGGGUGAAAAAAAAUCUACAACCACCUAUUUUAAUCUACAUGGGACAAUAAUUAGAAAAUUACAAUAUUGCCAUUAAUGAAAGAACAAUAUGAGCCAUUCGAUUAUAUUUUCUUUCUUUAAACUAGAGUCGUCGGAUCAUAAAAAAAAAAGAGAAUAUGAUAUUUACGAAAACGCCAUUAAUGAAAUAUCAAUCAUAGCCGUUAGAUCAUCUUGUCUACGAUUUAAUCAUAGCCACACGAUUACAUCUAUCUCUCCUUCUCUCUCUUUUCUCUUAAUCUCAACCGCAUGAUCAUUUCUUCCUUCUUCAAUUACAACCAUAGGAUCUUCCUUAUCUCAUUCUUUAAUUCGACUGGGUAUAACUAGUAUAACUCGUACAACUGAACAGGUUAAGAAAUUUUAUAAAUGGUAUAUAAAUGUUAUAAUCUAUAUAUAAUAUGUAGCUACUAUAAUUAACACGACUAGUAAAUCAUGUUUUACAUAUGAAAUAAACAACAAAUAUCCUAAUUUGUAUAUAAUGAUAAAAUUUCAUAUAUUUUAUUUGAGAUUUAUCAACUAUAUUAGUCAUAUUAUAAUGAUAAACAAACAUCGAACAUAUUUUUGCAAAGCUAUGAAGUGAAAAUAUUGGUACAAUCUCUAAACCGAGACAUAUAAAAAAUUGAUAUCAUUUUUAUUAAAUAUUAAAUGAGCAUUAUUGGUAUAACUGGCACAACUUUGACAUUUCAUAAAUUUGACAAAACCAAUUUGGUAUUCCAUAUGAGAAAAAAUAAUCAAAUAUCUCAAUUUGUAUGUACUCAUAAGUUUCUCUUAAUUUAUUUGAAGUUUUGGAAUUUUUUUUUGAAAAUUAUUACAGAACUCCACAAGCUUACAUGAUCCACCUUACACUUUUAAGGUUAGUUAACUUGUUUGUUCACUAAAUUUUUGGAAAACAUACAUGAAAUGUAUUUUUACGAAAUUGAUGAUUUCAUUGUAACCGGGCUAAGACAUGUAAACAUAAAUAAGUGGUACAACUGAUGUAAUUGUAUUUAUUAUGUGGUACAACUAAUAUUUUACGAUUUCACUGCCAAAGUACAACUAUGCACAAACUGGUACAACUCAAAAACUAGUACAACUAUGUACAGCCGGUACAACUAGAAAACUAGUACAACUACUUGUUAUUUUAUUUAUUAUAAAUGACUAUAUUACCCUUGAUGAAAAUGCAUUCUCAACCAUUAGAUCAUCUCACUUCUUAUAAUCUGAACCACACGAUCUUUCUUCUCUCCUUCUCUCUUUCGGUUGGGACCCACUUCCUCUUUCUCUCAACCCUAGAUCAUUUUUCCCCUGUUCGAUCAUGGCCACACGAUUUCUAUCAUUUGUAUGUGUAUAACUAAUAUAACUUGUACAACUAAACAAGCGAACAAAUGAUAUAACUAGUAUUUACGUGACACGAGUAAUAAAUCAUGUUUUCCAUAUGAAAUAAACAAUAAAAUAUCUGAAUUGGUUAAUGGUGACAAAAUUUCGUUUAUUUUAAUUGAGAGUUUUCAAUAUUUUGUUUUAUUUACCAAAUGGAGAUGCGGUUUCUCUCUCGCGGUUCCAAGCCUGCUUGGUUAGAUUUGACGAGGACCACAUGGACACCACCAUCGAGCUUCCUCUUCUCCGUCAUGACUUCACUCUUCUUUGCUGUAUCUCUCUUCUUCUUCUUCACAGUGUAUUUCUUCUUCUUCGUUGCGGCACCUCUCUUUUUCACAGUAGAGUCCUUUUUGUUCAUCGCCGGUGAGUCAUUCUUACUCAUCGUCGACACUCCCUCUUUCUUCUUUUUCGGGUGACUCGUGUAUUUGGAACCAUGGUUAAAUUUUUUUCUGGCUCCGUAUCUACCUUUUUGGUCUUGAGAGCAAAAAGAUGAAGAUGGUUUUUUUUCGAAAAUAGUGCAACUAGUACAACUUGUAACAAAUCAUUAUCCAAAUCAAAUAUUAUUAAAAAUAUAUUAUUCAUGUAUUUAAUACAUGCAGGCGGGGAAGAUUAGACAAACAUGUAUUCUUGGUUCUACAUCAUCAUUUUUUUAUCAUCUUCAUACGCUGAAAACAAAAAAAUAAAAACCACUAUAUUAAUUGCAAAGUUGUACUGGUUAUACAUGUUUUACUUGUAUCAGUUAUAAUGGUUAUACUCAGACUAUUUAUACUAGUUAUACUCAUUGUAGUUGUACUAAUUGUACCAAUUUGAGUUGUAUCAAUUUGAGUUGUAUAGCUGUACUAGUUGGAGUUGUACUAGUUGUCUUAGUAAUACUAUGCGUUUCUUCUUUAUCUUCAAUCUCGUAAGUAAAAGAUGAAAUUUGAUUCUAGAUAAGAUAUAAUUGAUUAAACAUGACUAUGAGUUGAUCGAUUUGGAAUAAGAAAAAGAAAUUUGGUGGAUUAUUAAAGAAAUUUUUUGAUUUUGUUUUAAGGUGGAAGAAUGUUAAUGGAGAAAAAAAAGUGGAAGAAGAAGAAGAUUAGGGUUAAAAUUGGGUCGGAUUUUGGAUAUGGAUCCGGGUCAAAUCUGGGUAGGAUAGUCAUGGCAUAAACUAGUAAAUAUGUUUAAUUUUGUAGGUCUUAUGGUCGUUUACCCCCAUUUUUUUAUUUAUUUUUAAUAUAUUGUUUAAUUAAAAAUAGAAGAGAUCCAUUCUAGAUUUUUUUGACCCUUUUGUCCCAUACCAGCAUUUGAUCCGUUAAUUCAUGUUCGUUAAUAACUGCAUUCAUCAUGUCCAAAAUACCUGCAUAAGAAAAUGCCAUGUGAACACAAACAUAACAUCAUUCAACAAUUAAAAGUUUAAAACACAUCCCUUUGUUCUUUGUGUGUGUUUUGGGGUUUCUAAGCAAUGCUUGUGUUUAAUGUGAGGUUUUUAAUAAAGAGUAACUGUAUGCCUCCUCUUAUCUUAUGUAUGUCACCUCUCUUCUCUCUUUUGUUUCAUAUUGUAACUCCAAUUCUGUGUGAUUGAGUUGAGGUUUGAAUCUAGAGGAAC